rnacentral:lncRNA from 1 species
CCUACCCUGACCUGGGCUGUGAGAGCAGCAAAAGUCCAGAGUCCCCACCUGGGCAGCCUCGCCGCGGCCCCUGCUCCGGGACCCUGUCCCCAGCGCCUCCACGGUUAAUGCCGCAAGUUCCAAGGUGUUCUAGAAGCUUCUCUGUGGAUUGGCUCUUGGUCUUCAAAGCAGCCCUAAGAGCCAGCACCCUCUCUGCUAAGAUGAGCCCAGCGGACCCUCGAAAUGGGCGUGGAGCACCCGAACAGAGUCUGCGUCCAGUGUGUCCGGAGUCCACGGAAGAGGCUCCCCGUCCUGGUCCCCAGGGAGGUGACCGCGGCGGGACGCUUCCUCGCACCCCCGGGACGGCUGUACAAACAAGAGCCCCAGGGGGAGAACAGUGUUGGUGAGGAGGUGGUGAAACCGGAAGCUCAGGUGCUGCUGGUAAGGGCACAUCAGGGGGCGCAGCCACGGUGGAAGGUGCCCUGGCAGCUCCUGGGAACGUUCAGCCGUCACACCCGGCAAGUCACUCCUCGCUCGGGCCGCAGCUCAGACAAGGACCCGAGCCAGCCAGAGGGGGAAAGGACGAGCCGGCUGCUGAUGGGGACAGACCCGUCCCGAAGGGCUUCGUCCACACCGGCCACACCAGGGGCGAACCUAGGAGGCCUGGUGCUGAGUGAUGACACGGACGUGGAAGGCCGCGUGCUGUGUGUCCCAUGCCACCUGCUCCCGAGGCAGGCGGGGCCACACAGAUGGAGCAGCGGUUGCCGGGGGUGGGGUGGGGUCGGGGGCUGACCACUGGAUGGGAACCCUUUCGGGGAAGGAAAACCUUCUGGAACCAGAAGGGGGCUUGCUAAAUGCUGCGGAAGCAUUCACGUGAAAACAGUUGAUUUUGGAGAUCCCGUUGGCUCGGCAGGUUAAGGAUCUGGCAUUGUCUCUGCCGUGGCUCAGGUCGCUGCUGUGGCCCCGGUUUGAUGCCAGACCUGGCAACUUCCGCAUGCUGUGUGUCCAGCCAAAAAAUAAAAUAAAACAGCUAACUU